rnacentral:tRNA from 1 species
GGGAUGUUAGCUCAGUUGGUAGAGCGUUUCCUUUGCACGGAAAAGGCCAUUGGUUCGAUUCCAAUACAUUCCA